rnacentral:piRNA from 1 species
UACAGUUUAUGACUCCUUCAGGAACUAUGC